AGCUACAGGCUUAACACAUGCAAGUCGAGGGGCAGCAUUUUAGUUUGCUUGCAAACUAAAGAUGGCGACCGGCGCACGGGUGAGUAACACGUAUCCAACCUGCCGAUAACUCGGGGAUAGCCUUUCGAAAGAAAGAUUAAUAUCCGAUAGUAUAUUAAAACCGCAUGGUUUUACUAUUAAAGAAUUUCGGUUAUCGAUGGGGAUGCGUUCCAUUAGUUUGUUGGCGGGGUAACGGCCCACCAAGACAACGAUGGAUAGGGGUUCUGAGAGGAAGGUCCCCCACAUUGGAACUGAGACACGGUCCAAACUCCUACGGGAGGCAGCAGUGAGGAAUAUUGGUCAAUGGACGAGAGUCUGAACCAGCCAAGUAGCGUGAAGGAUGACUGCCCUAUGGGUUGUAAACUUCUUUUAUAUGGGAAUAAAGUAUUCCACGUGUGGGAUUUUGUAUGUACCAUAUGAAUAAGGAUCGGCUAACUCCGUGCCAGCAGCCGCGGUAAUACGGAGGAUCCGAGCGUUAUCCGGAUUUAUUGGGUUUAAAGGGAGCGUAGGUGGAUUGUUAAGUCAGUUGUGAAAGUUUGCGGCUCAACCGUAAAAUUGCAGUUGAAACUGGCAGUCUUGAGUACAGUAGAGGUGGGCGGAAUUCGUGGUGUAGCGGUGAAAUGCUUAGAUAUCACGAAGAACUCCGAUUGCGAAGGCAGCUCACUAGACUGCAACUGACACUGAUGCUCGAAAGUGUGGGUAUCAAACAGGAUUAGAUACCCUGGUAGUCCACACAGUAAACGAUGAAUACUCGCUGUUUGCGAUAUACAGUAAGCGGCCAAGCGAAAGCAUUAAGUAUUCCACCUGGGGAGUACGCCGGCAACGGUGAAACUCAAAGGAAUUGACGGGGGCCCGCACAAGCGGAGGAACAUGUGGUUUAAUUCGAUGAUACGCGAGGAACCUUACCCGGGCUUAAAUUGCAUUUGAAUAAUCUGGAAACAGGUUAGCCGCAAGGCAAAUGUGAAGGUGCUGCAUGGUUGUCGUCAGCUCGUGCCGUGAGGUGUCGGCUUAAGUGCCAUAACGAGCGCAACCCUUAUCUUUAGUUACUAACAGGUCAUGCUGAGGACUCUAGAGAGACUGCCGUCGUAAGAUGUGAGGAAGGUGGGGAUGACGUCAAAUCAGCACGGUCCUUACGUCCGGGGCUACACACGUGUUACAAUGGGGGGUACAGAAGGCAGCUACCUGGCGACAGGAUGCUAAUCCCAAAAACCUCUCUCAGUUCGGAUCGAAGUCUGCAACCCGACUUCGUGAAGCUGGAUUCGCUAGUAAUCGCGCAUCAGCCAUGGCGCGGUGAAUACGUUCCCGGGCCUUGUACACACCGCCCGUCAAGCCAUGAAAGCCGGGGGUACCUGAAGUACGUAACCGCAAGGAGCGUCCUAGGGUAAAACUGGUAAUUG
rnacentral:rRNA from 1 species